CCCCCAUCAGCUCGCAGCACCGCGGCGCUUCGAGCCGAGCGAUAAAGCCCCGCCGUGACGAGGCUGCUUGCAAAGAAGAUGUGAUGAUACCAACAUGCUCAUGUUUUUCUUCCAAGGUACUACUAGCAUAUCUCGAGGUGAAAUCACAAUUUUUCUCUCUUUUUUUGUGAAUGAUUGUAAUGUACGGUUAGAGUAUAGUAAGAUGCUGCUGUUAGUUAAUGGAGUAAUUAAUGCGGAAAAAAAAAGAGAUGCAGGUAGAGUAAUUUACAAGUACGAUGAAAGAACACGAUGAGACUGAGGAAUGAGUCGAGAAAAGCAUGCAAGGCGUGCUGGCGAGCUAGAGAUUGCAAUGUAAUUCCUCUAAGAAUUGAGAAGAAACGUGCUCCCAUCUUACGAAA